rnacentral:rRNA from 1 species
AUGAACGCUGGCGGCGUGCCUAAUACAUGCCAGUCGAGCGAACGGACGAGAAGCUUGCUUCUCUGAUGUUAGCGGCGGACGGGUGAGUAACACGUGGAUAACCUACCUAUAAGACUGGGAUAACUUCGGGAAACCGGAGCUAAUACCGGAUAAUAUUUUGAACCGCAUGGUUCAAAAGUGAAAGACGGUCUUGCUGUCACUUAUAGAUGGAUCCGCGCUGCAUUAGCUAGUUGGUAAGGUAACGGCUUACCAAGGCAACGAUGCAUAGCCGACCUGAGAGGGUGAUCGGCCACACUGGAACUGAGACACGGUCCAGACUCCUACGGGAGGCAGCAGUAGGGAAUCUUCCGCAAUGGGCGAAAGCCUGACGGAGCAACGCCGCGUGAGUGAUGAAGGUCUUCGGAUCGUAAAACUCUGUUAUUAGGGAAGAACAUAUGUGUAAGUAACUGUGCACAUCUUGACGGUACCUAAUCAGAAAGCCACGGCUAACUACGUG